rnacentral:rRNA from 1 species
AAGAUUUUAUCGCUUGAAGAUGGACUCGCGUCCGAUUAGUUAGUUGGUGAGGUAACGGCUCACCAAGACCGCGAUCGGUAGCCGGACUGAGAGGUUGAACGGCCACAUUGGGACUGAGACACGGCCCAGACUCCUACGGGAGGCAGCAUG